AGUCACUGACAUUAGAUACCCGUGUAGUCCAGGGUGUAAACGCUGCAGACUUGGUGUUGGAGGCCCUUUGGGGGCAUUCAGUGCCGGAGAGAAGUUGUUAAGUCUGCUACUUGGGGAGUACGUCCGCAAGGAUGAAACUUAAAGGAAUUGGCGGAGGAGCACCGCAACGGGAGGAGCGUGCGGUUUAAUUGGAUUCAACACCGUAAAACUCACCAGGGAAGACUGUUACAUGAAGGCCGAGAUGAAGACUCUGCUAGAUUUUCAG
rnacentral:rRNA from 1 species